rnacentral:rRNA from 1 species
AGUGAACGCUGGCGGUAGGCCUAACACAUGCAAGUCGAACGGCAGCACAGUAAGAGCUUGCUCUUACGGGUGGCGAGUGGCGGACGGGUGAGGAAUACAUCGGAAUCUACUUUUUCGUGGGGGAUAACGUAGGGAAACUUACGCUAAUACCGCAUACGACCUACGGGUGAAAGCAGGGGAUCUUCGGACCUUGCGCGAUUGAAUGAGCCGAUGUCGGAUUAGCUAGUUGGCGGGGUAAAGGCCCACCAAGGCGACGAUCCGUAGCUGGUCUGAGAGGAUGAUCAGCCACACUGGAACUGAGACACGGUCCAGACUCCUACGGGAGGCAGCAGUGGGGAAUAUUGGACAAUGGGCGCAAGCCUGAUCCAGCCAUACCGCGUGGGUGAAGAAGGCCUUCGGGUUGUAAAGCCCUUUUGGGGAAAGAAAAGCAGCAGGUUAAUACCCCGCUGUUCUGACGGUACCCAAAGAAUAAGCACCGGCUAACUUCGUG